AGUAAGUUCGCUACCUCGAGACCUUUGUAGUUUUUAAUGUUCGUCGGUAUUUUCAAAAGUUAUAGAAUAUAGAAUAGUUUUCUACCCCCCGAAAGAAUACCGACACAACCGAAAAAAUACGAUUUUCGAGUCAUUAUUACUAUCAAAGUACGCAAAACGUCAUCCAUAUUCGUACCCGAUUUAGUAUUCUCGAAUUUUUGCGUUUAUUUAAUAUUAAAGGCAGUAUAUAAAUUCACACGUAUUUGUGUCUGCUUAGGAUACAUUUUCUAGUUUCCGGUCUAAAUAUUGACACUUUCGAGAUGUGAAUUAUUU